rnacentral:rRNA from 1 species
GACGAACGCUGGCGGCGCGCCUAACACAUGCAAGUCGAACGAGCGAGCGAGAGCUUGCUUUCUCAAGCGAGUGGCGAACGGGUGAGUAACGCGUGAGGAACCUGCCUCAAAGAGGGGGACAACAGUUGGAAACGACUGCUAAUACCGCAUAAGCCCACAGGUCGGCAUCGACCAGAGGGAAAAGGAGCAAUCCGCUUUGAGAUGGCCUCGCGUCCGAAUAGCUAGUUGGUGAGGUAACGGCCCACCAAGGCAACGAUCGGUAGCCGGACUGAGAGGUUGAACGGCCACAUUGGGACUGAGACACGGCCCAGACUCCUACGGGAGGCAGCAGUGGGGAAUAUUGCACAAUGGGGGAAACCCUGAUGCAGCGACGCCGCGUAGAGGAAGAAGGUCUUCGGAUUGUAAACUCCUGUUGUUGAGGAAGAUAAUGACGGUACUCAACAAGGAAGUGACGGCUAACUACGUG